AGGCUGUUCUCACUUUGGACGAACGGCGCCGGCGGGUGGCCGUCCACGACGCUGUCACGCACGCUUGGCACGGCACACCGAGAGAGAGAGAGCGCGCGCGCGCGACGCAGCCAAUCCCCCACGGCAUGCCCAAAACCCUCAGUUCCGUGCAAUAAUUCUGCCUCGUCCUCCCAUCGCUGUCCCCCACCGAAACACUCUCGGACGCGUCGUCGUCUCCCCAAGACCAAAGCCAGGCGGCCUGUCUGUCCUCCAGUCUCCCCACUUCGCUCUCACCCCACGCCGCGUACCGCUAUUAAUACCACCACCAGUACCACCACCUCUGCCAGUUCGCCACCAUCGUGCUCCGUACACGCUCCGCUCCGGCCAUGGCCGCCGCCGCGGCCUCCUUUUCGGCCCUGCCGUUCCUUCUACUUUUGCUGCUGGUGCCGUCGCUCGACGGCGCCUCCAAUGUGACGUACGACCACCGCUCCCUCAUCAUCUCCGGCCGCCGCCGCCUCGUCAUCUCCACCUCCAUCCACUACCCCCGCAGCGUCCCCGAGAUGUGGCCCAAGCUGGUGGCUGAAGCCAAGGACGGCGGCGCCGACUGCAUCGAGACCUACGUCUUCUGGAACGGCCAUGAAAUCGCCCCAGGCCAGUACUACUUCGAGGACCGGUUUGACCUGGUGCGGUUUGUGAAGGUCGUUAGAGACGCUGGGCUGCUCUUGAUCCUGCGCAUCGGGCCCUAUGUGGCCGCCGAGUGGAAUUAUGGAGGCGUGCCGGUGUGGUUGCACUACGUGCCAGGAACGGUUUUCAGGACAAACAACGAGCCAUUCAAGAACCAUGUGAAGAGUUUCACGACAUACAUCGUGGAUAUGAUGAAGAAAGAGCAGCUCUUCGCUUCUCAGGGAGGGAACAUUAUCCUAGCUCAGAUAGAGAACGAAUAUGGAGAUUAUUAUGAACAAGCGUAUGGAGCUGGCGGCAAACCAUACGCCAUGUGGGCAGCUAGUAUGGCUCUUGCUCAAAACACUGGUGUCCCUUGGAUUAUGUGCCAAGAGUCUGAUGCUCCUGAUCCCGUGAUAAACUCUUGCAAUGGUUUCUACUGCGAUGGAUUCCAGCCAAAUUCGCCAACCAAGCCAAAAAUUUGGACUGAGAAUUGGCCAGGAUGGUUCCAGACUUUUGGUGAAAGUAAUCCCCACAGACCACCUGAAGAUGUUGCAUUCGCUGUUGCACGUUUUUUCGAGAAAGGUGGCAGUGUUCAGAAUUACUAUGUGUAUCAUGGUGGCACAAAUUUUGGUCGCACUACUGGGGGGCCAUUCAUUACAACUAGCUACGACUAUGAUGCACCAAUUGAUGAAUAUGGACUUCGGAGAUUUCCAAAGUGGGCACAUCUGAGGGAUCUUCACAAAUCUAUAAGAUUGUGUGAGCACACCCUGCUUUAUGGAAAUACAACGUUUCUUUCUCUGGGUCCUAAACAAGAGGCUGAUAUUUACAGUGAUCAGUCUGGAGGCUGUGUUGCAUUCUUGGCAAAUAUUGAUUCAGCCAAUGACAAAGUUGUCACUUUCCGUAACAGGCAAUAUGAUCUUCCUGCUUGGUCAGUUAGCAUUCUUCCUGACUGCAGGAAUGUGGUGUUCAACACUGCAAAGGUGCAAUCUCAAACUUCAAUGGUGACCAUGGUUCCAGAAAGUUUGCAAGCAUCAAAACCUGAGCGAUGGAGCAUUUUCAGGGAGAGAACUGGGAUUUGGGGUAAAAAUGACUUUGUCCGGAAUGGAUUUGUGGACCAUAUUAAUACGACAAAGGACUCCACCGACUACCUAUGGUACACAACAAGUUUUAGUGUGGAUGGAAGUUACUCCUCAAAAGGGAGCCAUGCUGUCCUUAAUAUCGACUCCAAUGGCCAUGGUGUCCAUGCUUUCUUGAAUAAUGUGCUCAUAGGUAGUGCAUAUGGUAAUGGCUCACAAUCAAGAUUCAGUGUCAAAUUGCCCAUCAACCUGAGGACUGGAAAGAAUGAACUUGCCCUUCUAAGUAUGACUGUUGGUUUACAAGAUUCGCUUAUGAAUGGAUAGGAGCAGGCUUUACAAAUGUGAACAUCUCUGGUGUGAGAACUGGAACCAUAGACUUGUCUUCAAAUAAUUGGGCAUACAAGAUUGGACUGGAAGGGGAAUAUUAUAAUUUGUUCAAGCCUGAUCAGACAAAUAACCAACGGUGGAUACCACAAUCCGAGCCACCAAAAAACCAACCUUUGACAUGGUAUAAGGUAAAUGUUGAUGUUCCACAAGGAGAUGACCCAGUUGGGAUAGACAUGCAGUCUAUGGGGAAAGGCUUGGCUUGGUUGAAUGGAAAUGCCAUCGGGCGGUAUUGGCCGAGGACCAGUUCUAUUAAUGAUAGGUGCACUCCCAGUUGUAACUACAGGGGAACAUUUAUUCCAGACAAGUGCAGGACAGGUUGUGGACAGCCAACUCAGAGAUGGUACCAUAUCCCACGGUCAUGGUUUCAUCCCUCAGGGAACAUCCUCGUGGUCUUUGAGGAGAAGGGUGGGGAUCCCACGAAGAUCACAUUCUCAAGAAGAGCUGUGACGAGCGUGUGCUCCUUUGUGUCAGAGCACUUCCCUUCCAUAGACUUGGAAUCCUGGGAUGAAAGUGCCAUGACCGAAGGCACACCCCCAGCCAAAGCACAGCUGUUUUGCCCCGAGGGUAAAAGUAUAUCUUCCGUGAAGUUUGCGAGCUUGGGAAACCCCAGUGGAACCUGUAGAUCAUACCAAAUGGGGCGCUGCCACCACCCGAACUCCUUAUCUGUUGUUGAGAAGGCUUGUCUGAACACCAACAGCUGUACAGUCUCCCUGACAGACGAGAGCUUUGGGAAGGAUUUAUGCCCUGGAGUCACCAAAACACUCGCCAUCGAAGCGGACUGUUCUUAGUGGCCUACGGAGUACGAAGUGUCUCGGUGUGCAUCUAGGUUCCACUGCAAGUAUGCCCGUCAAAAUUCUAAAACUGUAGUGCUUGUUGCACGGCAAUGCUAUUGUAACCUGGAUUUGAAUGUAUCCAUCUGAGCUAGGUUAUGUUUCAGGAGCUUUCUUAAACUAACGUUGUUGCUGAGCAGCAUGAAAUCUGAUUAGCGCAAAUAUGUUUCCUAGAUUUUAAGAGUCUUCAGAGGCAUUACUCAA